ensembl:lncRNA
CAUCGAGAGGAAGCAAGCAGAUUGACGUAUUACCCACUGCUGUGCAUUUACGAUAGCCAUAUUGAUCGAUUGGAAAUGUUUGGUGAGUCACAUUUAACGCUGUGUCUUACACUACUUUUACAACCAGGGACAGGGGAGGGAGGUCAAAGGGCACAUCAGAAAGCACUCACUUUUACUGUUGGUGAGAAAAAUGGUGGUGGAAUUUCUGUAUCCAGCUACCUUCCUGCCUCAGGACACCUCCUCUCUUUGCUGAAAUUGCUAUUUCCCUUCAAGAGCAAAUCUUUCUGCCCACAGAUGAGGAAGAUAAUGGUACCUUGCAAAAUACAAUACAGGAUAUUUGCAAAACACUUUCUUACAUAUUUCCUCACAGGAGUCUCACCAAACAAACAAGCGUUCUAAAAUGAGUUGGGUGCUUCUUAUUAGGCCUGAACGCGACAUCCAAGUAUGGCAAUAUGACUGUGUCUUGUGUCCCACCUCUGAGUUCAGAGGUGGAGACCCUUGUGCUCUGCCUUCCCACCUCCUCACCACUCCAGCUGCCUCUUGUCCUCACUGCCUGUGGGAGAUUGGUACUUGACUGGUUCAUUCAGUCAAGUACCUUAUUUGACUUGAUAUCGUCGUCGACAUCUUAUUUGAUGAUAGCCAAGACUGAACAAGACUCAGCGAGGACCAUGGAAAAAUCUCUACAACUGCAGAAGCCAAUUCCAGCCUGCCUGUCAGCUGUCUCUGCUGUAGACUCUGGACUGUCUCAAGAGCGACCUCCCUGGAAAUGCACCAUCCUGACAUUUCUGGCCCAUCAGGGCUCUGGCUCCCGGUCCUGACCCUCUCAGACUUUUCACUCCUCUGAAGCUGCCUGCAGAACUCCUGUGUCCAGGAAAAAGCCUACAUCCCACCAAAUGUGACAUAGUCCCAAACACAUUCUCUUUUCCCAGCUUGCAGGGCAGCAGAACUACCUCGUUAGGUGAGCAAGAGAAAGUCUUCUUACACGGUUUAGGCCUGGAUGUGCGUUGUGCUUUGAAAACAUGACUUUUUGUUUAUUUGUUUCAUUUGGAUUUUAAGAGCAAACUCAUUCUUCCAAUAGAGCAGAGUUGGAUUAGCCUCUUGACCUAAAGCAGAGGGGGCCACCAGUCUCUCAUAUAGCAUAAUUCACACUUAUAUAAUGACAAAGACACAUUUCCCAGGGGCAGAUUUUUUAGAACUCUGUGUGUAUAUGUGUGUGACCAUCUCAAGAACAGCAACAAAGUUAGGUGCAGUGGCACAUCCUAUAAUCCCAGGAGGCAUAGGCAGGAAGAUAAUGGUCUGAGGCCGACCUCAGGCAAAACUGUAAGACCCUACCUGAAAAAUAACUAAAGCAAAAGAGGGCUGGAAGCAUGGCUCAAGUGGUACAGCAUCCUCCUAGGAAGCAUGAGGCCCUGAAUUCAAAUCCAAGGACUAUGAAGAAGAAGGAGGAGGAAGAAGAGGAGAGAAGGAAGGAAUAGCAACAAGGAUUAAAUAGCAUUGCUCCAUUCUUCAGAUGAGCUCAGGGUUGUACCCAAGGGCAAACUUAACACAGAAUAAGAGAAAAUGAUCCAAAU